CUUCUAAUUGCAGGGUUGAAAAUCUGGUGCAGUUAGUACCUUGGGUAGGGGUGGGAGUGAUUUGACAGCCACAUCCAUUGGUAGAGCCUUAGGCUUGCAAGAGAUUCAGGAAAUGGCGAUUGGUCUAUUCCAGAAGGAGAUAGCCUGAAAGGAAACAACCCUUCUGAGGGCAACAAAUCCAAUGACACUGCCUCCGAGAAGUACCAUCAAAUAAUUGUGGAUUGGAGAGAGUUCAGAGCAGCUCUCUUUGCUCGGGAACAGGCAGAAAAGGCAGAUU